rnacentral:rRNA from 1 species
GAUGAACGCUAGCGGCAGGCCUAAUACAUGCAAGUCGAACGGUAACAUGAGUAGCAAUACUUGAUGACGAGUGGCGCACGGGUGCGUAACGCGUAUGCAAUCUACCUUUAACUGGUGAAUAGCCCGAAGAAAUUCGGAUUAACACACCAUAGUAUAUUUUGUAAUGGCAUCAUUUAAAUAUUAAAACUACCGGUGGUUAAAGAUGAGCAUGCGUGACAUUAGCUAGUUGGUGAGGUAAUGGCUCACCAAGGCUACGAUGUCUAGGGGA